rnacentral:snRNA from 1 species
AUUCUCUUCAGCAGCAUACAUACUCAAAUUUGAAUGAUACAGAGAAAAUUAGCAUGGCACCUGCACAAG